rnacentral:tRNA from 1 species
GGCAGCGUAGCUCAGUGGCGGAGCGAGCGACUCAUAACCGCUAGGUCACAGGUUCGAUCCCUGUCGCUGCCACCA